UAAUUAAAUUAACUGUUUGUAAGAAUAAGACAAAACCAGUACUAAAAAGUAUUUUUACUCACAUCAGACUGUGUCAUUUGCACAUGAUUUAAGGAUUAGCUCCCCCUCACACGGCACGGCUCAUGUGAUAUGUCUCCUUAUCUCCUGUUGCCUCUCCGUCCUUUUUUGGACUCCCUGGCUGGCCGUCCGGAGGUUUCCAUGAUGACUGAUCACGUUACAUUUGGGGUGAGGGCAGGGAAACCACACAGGGCUUCAGAGCUAACCCURCAGAUGCACCAUGAGACCCUGACCUUCCCCCGACACACCCUCGGUAGUGAGCAUGCUUUGAAUAUACAAACUGAGGUCUGACUUUGAGAUUUGAUGAUUGUAAGUAACCAUGUUUAAUCAUUUUUUGAAUGUUUAUUUUUGUUUGCCUUUUUUUUUCACUUGGUUUUCAUUUUAAAACGUAAAUAAAGUGAAACUACACCGCUUUGUGUUUUGCCUUAUUUUACUUUUUUUGGCAUAUUCUGAUAAAACGUUGAAGCAGAAAUYAUGAACCAGAAAAAAAAAGUUUAUGAAGCAUUUUAGCCCUGAUUGGGAAAACGUUUAAUGUUACAGGAUGCAGAAAAAUGUGGUGUAAGCCUUAAAACCAACAGCUGGUGCUCUGGGCGUUGGAUUCAGCCAGACAUACACAGUUUGUUCUGCUGCUGACUCAAUCUUGCCCGGCUGCAAAGGAAAGAAUAUUUUACACAUGGGUUUGUUGAUAUGUUCCCUCUAGAGGUCCCUUAACAACCUCAAGAAACACGGAAUAAAUCUAAAARCAGCAUAUUCAACCAAAAAUACAUUUGGUAAUUCCAAAUUUAGCRUUUACAAUUUGCUACGUGGGCCAAAGUAAAAAAUUAAAACUGAAGAUACAACAAAUGCAACAAAUUAAGUUAGAAUCAUCAUGGGUGUGGAUGGAAAAUUWAAUUKAGYUUUUAUUGAUUUAUUCAGAUAAACAGUGGAAUUUAUUGUGCUUUUUUAAAUGUAUUGUGCUUGUAUAAGGAUUUCUCCUCACUAAUAGUUGGUUAAAUGUCCUUGAGUUUAUCUUUGACCACAGAUUUUUUGUUGCUACCAACUCACAUCUGGCUUAAUUGUAGAUGAAAUUGUAUCGCUCUUCCUGGAGGGUUUGAUAGUUUUUAGUUAAAUUGUUUGAUUUUCUGCAACAGAUUCAACAUUUUAAUUACAUUUUAAAUAGGGUUGAGAUUGAGGUUUAUUUCAGAUGCUAGCCAGUUUUAUCCUUUCUGUGAAAUGAUCAAAUAUGAGAGUUUUCAUUUAGUUUUUUCUUGUUGUGUGAUGCUUUAAUUGUACUGUUAAAUGUGUGGGUAUGCCCCAAAUUAAUGUUACAAUUGGGUCAAYAAACUCAUAACUAAAAUAYGCUGUAAAACAAAACACCAGGUGUUUAAAAAGGGAGCAGGAAGAAGCAAUGGCUUAUCCAAUCCUGUCCAUAAGUCUUUUUCAAACAAGUUCUUAAUCAAACUAGUGAUUCAAUAAAUACAAAUUCACUCUCACCUACAGAUCAGAGCUUAAUACACACAUAAAUUUAAAAUAACAUUUUAUCUUGUUCACUUUUUUACACAUAAUUUAUAUAUUAUGUGCGACAAUAUUUUGACUUUGCUUAGUUUAAUCUAAAAUCAAAAUCACYCCACAAACUGAUAUUAAGUGUAUGGCUGCAUUAGUAUAUUUUCCUCUCAUGUUGAACUUUCCCUGUCAGGUUGAGGUUUUCAAAUGUAUCAACACCACAGCGGCCGAGCAUGGUGGUGGCAGCAUCAUGCUCUGUUUAGCUACCACUGGUUKARUGCAAAAAGUGGAUGGGAUAAAGUAAAAUCAUCACAUAAACACUUUAAAACUGUUUUUAAAUAAUUAAGUGUAACAUUUUKCUUAUGAAACGACUCCCAGGUCRACAGGUGAUGAUUUUUUAAUCAUGUCAGAAGGUUUUCGUUUUGUAAUUAAUCACUUCUGGCUCAAAAAGAGGUCAAAAGUCAGCYAAUUAUGCUAGACGGCUUCCAACUCAUGUGCAUUUUGCUCAUUUACAUUUAUGCAACAUUAUGACACAAAUAUUCACUUAUAUGUGUAACCUGUAUGAACAAUUGGUAAAAAUUCACAGUAAUCAGAUUUGUGAACUCAAUUCACUGAUUUUUUUUUUUGCUUAUGAAUUUCAAAAAAAGAAAAGUUUCUGAGYAUUGCUUGAAUUACUGUCAAGCUCGUUUCUUUUAUGAAGUAAAUGACUGAUGCACUUAGCUCUUUUCAGUUGGAAAAAUUUCCUGGACAUUUGGAAAUCUUUCUUUGAAGCAACAGAAAGUUAAUCUAAACCAUCUUUAUAACUUCUUCAUGUUGCCUGCUUUCUUUCAUCUUCUUCUACCUGAAGUAGCAAUAAACCURCAGAUCUGACAACCUACUGGAUUUUAUCGUCAUCUUCAAUAAACACAAAGGAUUUGGCACUGAGCCGCCAUUUUACAACGCUUUAUGGGAUCUAAGUGAUUGUGUGUGUAAGUGUUUGAUWAUAUCMGACGGGAAGGAAACAGGAAACAUGAGGUGCAUUCAGUUUUCUUUGAGUCGUUUCAAGUGUCAGCUUUAUAAUUUCACAUCAGUUACAGGUGUUAAACACUGGGUAGUCCAGAGGUGACUAAUCUUUUAGAAAAAAAAAAAAA